rnacentral:lncRNA from 1 species
UCUGAUUUCUCACCCCAAACCAGGGUUCCGUGAUGGAUUUUGGGGUCCAUGAUGGAUUUUGGGGUUCCAUGAUGGAUUUUGGGUUCCGUGAUGGAUUUUGGGUUCCCUGAUGGAUUUUGGGUUCCAUUAUGGAUUUUGUGUUCCAUGAUGGAUUUUGGGGUUCCCUGAUGGAUUUUGUGUUCCAUGAUGGAUUUUGGGGUUCCAUGAUGGAUUUUGGGUUCCAAUCCAUGAUUUCUCCCCUGGUUUCUCAGUGGAAGGUCCCUCCCAGGCUCACCUGGGUACAAGGACAGGUUCCCUGAUGAAUUUUGGGGUUCCCUGAUGGAUUUUGGGUUCCCAGUUCCAGGUUUCUUGGUGGAAGGUCUCUCCCAGACCUGUCUGGGAUGGAUUUUGGGGUUCCCUGAUGGAUUUUGGGUUCCCAAUUCCAGGUUUCUCAGUGGAAGGUCCCUUGCAGGCCCAUCUGGGAUGGAUUUGGGGUUCCAUGAUUCCCAAUCCCUGUUUCUCCCCAGGUUUCUCGGUGGAAGGUCCCUUACAGGGUUCCAUGAUGGAUUUUGGGGUUCCCUGAUGGAUUUUGGGUUCCCAAUUCCAGGUUUCUCGGUGGAAGGUCCCUCCCAGGCCUGUCUGGGAUGGAUUUUGGGGUUCCCUGAUGGAUUUUGGGUUUCCAUGAUGGAUUUUGGGGCUCCCUGAUGGAUUUUGGGUUUCCAUGAUGGAUUUUGGGUUCCAAUCUUGGUUUCUCCCCAGGUUUCUCAGUGGAAGGUCCCUCCCAGGGUUCCAUGAUGGAUUUGGGGUUCCAUGAUGGAUUUUGGGUUUCUCCCCAGGUUUCUCGGUGGAAGGUCCCUCCCAGACCCAUCUGGGAUGGAUUUUGGGGUUCCCUGAUGGAUUUUGGGUUCCCAAUUCCAGGUUUCUCGGUGGAAGGUCCCUCCCAGGGUUCCCUGAUGGAUUUUGGGUUCCAAUCCCGGUUUCUACCCAGGUUUCUCGGUGGAAGGUCCCUUACAGGGUUCCAUGAUGGAUUUUGGGGUUCCCUGAUGGAUUUUGGGUUUCUCCCCAGGUUUCUCGGUGGAAGGUUCCUUCCCAGACCCAUCUGGGAUGGAUUUUGGGGUUCCAUGAUUCCCAAUCCCUGUUUCUCCCCAGGUUUCUCAGUGGAAGUUCCCUCCCAGACCUGUCUGGGAUGGAUUUUGGGGUUCCCUGAUGGAUUUUGGGGUUCCCUGAUGCAUUUUGGGUUCCCAAUUCCAGGUUUCUCGGUGGAGGGUCCCUCCCAGACCCACCUGGGAUGGAUUUUGGGGUUCCAUGAUUCCCAAUCCAUGUUUCUCCCCAGGUUUCUCGGUGGAAGUUCCCUCCCAGGCCCGCCUGGGAUGGAUUUUGGGGUUCCCUGAUGGAUUUUGGGUUCCCAAUUCCAGGUUUCUCGGUGGAAGGUCCCUCGCAGACCUGUCUGGGAUGGAUUUUGGGGUUCCCUGAUGGAUUUUGGGUUUCUCCCCAGGUUUCUCGGUGGAAGUUCCCUCCCAGACCUGUCUGGGAUGGAUUUUGGGUUCCAUGAUGGAUUUGGGGUUCCCUGAUGGAUUUUGGGUUCCCUGAUGGAUUUUGGGUUCCAAUCUUGGUUUCUCCCCAGGUUUCUCAGUGGAAGGUCUCUCCCAGACCUGUCUGGGAUGGAUUUUGGGGUUCCCUGAUGGAUUUUGGGUUCCCAAUUCCAGGUUUCUCGGUGGAGGGUCCCUCCCAGACCCACCUGGGAUGGAUUUUGGGGUUCCAUGAUUCCCAAUCCCUGUUUCUCCCCAGGUUUCUCGGUGGAGGGUCCCUCCAAGGCCCGCCUGGAGUGCGAGGACGGC